rnacentral:tRNA from 1 species
UCCGAAUUAGUGUAGGGGUUGUAAGUUCUUCCGUCUCCAACGCCGGAUAGCCCCGGGUUCGAUUCCCGGAUUCGGAA